rfam:Myotis lucifugus cont2.15446, whole genome shotgun sequence.
GCCGGUUUGGCUCAGUGGAUAGAGCGUCAGCCUCCAGACUGAAGGAUGUUGGGUUCAAUUCCAGUCAAGGGCA